CAAUGAAAUAAUGAAUGCUCUCCUUCUAUAUGUUUCUCCUCCAUUUCUCUCUCUUUUCUUCUUUUUCCCCCAAAUUUUUUUCUUUUUAAUUGACUCUUUGUAGAGUGUAGAGGAUUGAACGAUGAUGAUAACAAUUUGGUUCGCUCGUCGUACGUAAUGGCACAAUUGCCUUGUCGAAAUUGCAGAAUGCUUCUGAGUUCUCUAUUUCUUACUCUACAGUUUGAUCCUAAUAUGAUUUCUUUCUUUUUAGUAAAUGUUAUGUGAAGUCCCCAAAUUAUCAAAAUCUUUUCACUAUUAACUACGAUUUGUUAAACAAUUCUUCUUUCUUUUUCCCUCAAAGUUUUCAGUUGUUUUAACCUAUAUUGUAGUAAAAUGUUUUUGAGCUGUUUUAUCUCAUAGUUUUUUUUUGUUUUUUUUUUUUAUCACAGCCGUAUCUUAUCUCAUAGUUCACACCCAAUGAAUACUCUCUUUAUAAUUGAUAUGUUUCUCCUACAAUUUCUUUUCUCUCUCUUUUUCCUCCUAUCCCAAUUUUAUAUUAUUUUUUUUAAUUGACUUUUGUAGUGUCAUAGGUGGGACGGUGAAGAUAAUAAUUUGGUUCGCUUGUCGCGCAUGAUGGGAAGGAAAAUUGCUUGCUGAAAUGAUAGAAUAUUUCUGAGAUACAAUUUUAUAGUAAUUUGAUUUUUUUUUUUUGGAAGAUUACACAAAUUGUCACUGAAUUAUACCUCAUUCGACACUUUGAUCACUGACUUUUCAAAAAUAUCACUUUAAUACUUCAAAUUUAAUUCUGCAAUUCACUAUAGCCAUCGUCAUCAAAUUUGCUUCGACACUUUGAUCACUGACUUUUCAAAAAUAUCACUUUAAUACUUCAAAUUUAAUUCUGCAAUUCACUAUAGCCAUUGUCAUCAAAUUUGUAGUUAAACACCUUUGUGGGUAUUUUAGUUCAAUCACAAGUGAAAGUAUUCGGUGGAAGUAUUCGAUGAAAGUAUCACAAAGGGUCCACACCAAUCUAGAAUUCUCUAUAACUUGUAUAAAUAUAUAUAACUAUUCAUUGUAAUUUGAGCCAAUUCAAUACAAUAUAUUAUCUCUAUCAAAUUACUUUUCCUCAGACAAAAAUAAAUAAAUAUCAAACCACCUUUCCAGCUCUAGCUCUGUUUCUUUAUUUAGAACGUGUAGUGAGAGCAGGGACCUUUCUUUGCAAUCAUAACUGAUGGCUUCUCCAGGUAAUAUUUCUCAUUUCUUUGAAUCAUUCUUUCUUCAUGUCAAUAACAUGUUUUUUGUAGUUCUAUACUUCUAUGCACAUUAGAUUAACAUUUAUAUGUUCUUCUAACAUUCUCUGCACUAAAAUCAAGACUCUGGCUUUCGGGUCUGUCAUUCGCAUUAUCAUGGACGCAAAACGCUUGGAUCGUAUACUACGUUUCGAACCGGCAAAACGAUGUUGUGGAGGUCUAAUUUGCAGCCCAAGUUGGCAGUGGAGACCAUAUCCUGAGUGGUGGUGGGAACAACAUCGCAAGAGGGGUGAUGCGAUUCCAUCAUAUUCAAAAUUUCUGAGAUUUGAUUCGGAAAAGGUUGGAAGUUGGCAUGGGGGAACUUUGGCUGAACGAUUGAAGUAAUCAUAAAUAAGGAGGUAGGGGAGCUUAUAGCAAUUUGUUAAAAAAGGAGAGUGGGGAGGUUGUUUGUGUUCUGCAGUUCUGCUUGUCGAAUCCUAGUUUCUAUUUUGCUUGUUUCAGAUACACUAUUAAUAGAUAGCACGGAAGUUUUAGUCUGUUCAGUCGCUUCUUUUAUGGCAAUGUUUCUGCAAGGACACUAGCUAGUGUGAGUUUAAUUGAAACUCUGCUAGGGAGUUGAUCGAGUUUUUCGGAGGUGAGAAAAGGGGCGUGGUUUUGAAGAGACGUGCUACGUUGGCAAUGUUCUGGGUUGUAUAGAUGGAGGGAAUUAAGGGUUUCGGAUAUUCUUAAGGCUGGGGUGGGGGGGGGGAGAACACCCAUGUGUAUUGUUUGUUGUCCAACAAAUAACUGCAAUAUUUCUCGGUCAAUUAAGUGCUUGCUAGUUAUUCUUCUUUGCCUUUGGUGGUGUUGUUCUAGAAAUUUUUUCAGUGGUUGGCAAGAUAAUCCGAGUUUGGAAGGCGAUAUGGUUUAUUUUCUUGAAUGGAUUAUCUGAAUUCAAUGAGGAAGAAGCAAGACGAACGACCAAUGCAGGACUUUUGUGCACUCGAUCAUCACCAAUCCUACAACCACCGUCUUGUUGGUCCGAAUGCGUUCUGGAGAUAUCGAAGUGAUGCCUGCUACUUCAAAGCCUGGUUACAUGAUCGACCACUGGAAGUACUGUCACCAGUCUAUAUAUCAACUGAUAUGUCAACUAGAGGAAUUCACUUCAGCUUUUACAACUCAUCGGCAAAUACAAGCUGAUGAUGAUCCAGGGAUACUUCAGAUGCCACUGUUCCCCCAUGCUAAGAAAAUACAAAUGGUGAUACUAGAUGAGAAUUUUGAAAGAAUUGAAUAACUGGUCCACUGUUACGAUCCCCGGGAUCGAAGUAAUGGAACAACAUCGCAAAGGAAAUGAAAUAAAGGAAAGCUAAAGAAAAUAAGACGAUAAAAGAUGAUUUUUCAUUGAUUGGUUUCUUACAAUGCGGCUAUGAAUUUAAAUAAUGGAACAACUAACAAUCCCUAAAUAUCCGUAUGCAUGAUAAUCCGACCCAAUACCCCACACAAUUAUCAGGCCCAAAUAGAUAUAAACCAUACAAGCCCAAUACAUAAUCCAUCUCACUAAUUGUGAUCCUAACAUCCAUACAAACAUGCAUGUUUGUAUAAACAUACAUGAUCAAGAUUCAAACGGUGAGUAUAAACAGACAACAUUUGAUUCUUGAUCAUGUAUGUAUUUGCAGCAAUUGAACCUAUAGGCUAUGAAUUGGACUGCUCCAAACAUGCCAUCCUUCAGAUUUACCAGAUACCUCUUUUAGGUAUAUUGGGAAAAGAAAAGAAAAAAACAUUCAGAAACAAACAGCACUGCCUAAUUGAACCAAUAGGCUAUGAAUGGGACUGCUCCAAAUAUGCCCCUUCAGAUUCCACCAGAUGCCUCUUUUCUGUAUAUUGGAAAAAAAAAAAACUUUCAGAAACAAAUAUCACUGCCUAACUUGUUUCUGUAGGCAAUUCAUAUUUGUAAUAAUAUCCUGGAUGCACUUGAAAACGGAUCAUUUAUGUUGUAACUCUGAGCAGCCCUCAAUUCCUGUAAGGGAUACUAUAUUAGACCAGAAACUUCACCUUUAUUCAGCGAAGAGACCAACUUGCUAGAAAAAGCCAUUUAUAUAUAACUGGGAACUUGACUCAGGAACCAGCUAACCACUAAAUUUUGACAGACUAUUUGUUUCUCUAUUCACAAUAUAAACUGUAGCUCUGAAUUAAUGUUUACAACGGUGUAAUCUCCGGUCUACCCAAAAUGGGGAAAAUAUGUUCCAUUAAAAAUAUCAGUGAAGGCUGGUUCAUUUUUUUUUUUGUCUGAUCGAAGGCUGCUGGUUAAUCACAGAUAGUUGCAUGAGUCACCUUAUGAAAUCGAUUGCGAGUAUUGGUCUUCUUCGUUGUAUUGUUAGUGUUCUUCAUUUUGAGCUAACUAGCUAGUUAAAUAAUUAAUAUUGGCCCUCUAGCUAGCACAGUAACACACCAACAUUUCUUUUUCUCUACGUGAAAUUGAAUGCAAAUGCUAUUUACAAAUGUACGUUUACCUGUUCAUAAACUACACUUUGCAGUGUGACAGAGAUCUCUUUAAAGAAUCAUGCCUGGAAAACAAUUUCUCUAAUAAAGAGAGCUAGCUCAGGCCAGACCCUGCUUCACUUAGAGCUGACUGUUACUUCCAAAGCUAGUCAGUUGUCCGUGAUUAUAUUGACCCUCUAGCACUGCAACUUUGGACUGGUUACCUGUACGUUCAACAUCUAAACUUUGCAAUAGACCAAGUCAGAACAGGUUCUACACUAUGCAUUAACCUACUGUCACUAAUGAUAUAAAAUCUAAAAGUUAGAGUACAACUUUUAUGGAGUA